AGCAGCCGCGGUAAUUCCAGCUCCAAUAGCGUAUAUUAAAGUUGUUGCAGUUAAAAGCUCGUAGUUGAAUUUCGGGGUUAGUAGGUUGGUCGUGCCACUGGUACGUACUGGUCUCACUGAUUCCUCCUUCCUGAUGAACUGUAAUGCCAUUAAUUGGUGUUGCAGGGAAACUGGACUGUUACUUUGAAAAAAUUAGAGUGUUUAAAGCAGGCAUUAGCUUGAAUACAUUAGCAUGGAAUAAUGAAAUAGGACGUUCGAUCCUAUUUUGUUGGUUUCUAGGAUCAACGUAAUGAUUAAUAGGGAUAGUUGGGGGCAUUAGUAUUCAAUUGUCAGUAGGUGAAAUUCUUGGAUUUAUUGAAGACUAACUACUGCGAAAGCAUUUGCCAAGGAUGUUUUCAUUAAUCAAGAACGAAAGUUAGGGGAUCGAAGACGAUCAGAUACCGUCGUAGUCUUAACCAUAAACUAUGCCGACUAGGGAUCGGAUGAUGUUAAUUUUUUAAUGACUCAUUCGGCG
rnacentral:rRNA from 1 species